GUGGUAAUGCCGGAUGCUCCGACUCCUCGCAUGGGGUGUCGGGAAAGAUUUCAUCGGUAUGGGAUGGGGUCGCGUCCUAUCAGGUAGUCGGCGGGGUAACGGCCCACCGAGCCUACGACGGGUAGCCGGCCUGAGAGGGCGACCGGCCACAUUGGGACUGAGAUACGGCCCAGACUCCUACGGGAGGCAGCAGUGGGGAAUAUUGCACAAUGGGCGCAAGCCUGAUGCAGCGACGCCGCGUGCGGGAUGACGGCCUUCGGGUUGUAAACCGCUUUUGAUCGGGAGCAAGCCUUCGGGUGAGUGUACCUUUCGAAUAAGCACCGGCUAACUACGUGCCAGCAGCCGCGGUAAUACGUAGGGUGCAAGCGUUAUCCGGAAUUAUUGGGCGUAAAGGGCUCGUAGGCGGUUCGUCGCGUCCGGUGUGAAAGUCCAUCGCUUAACGGUGGAUCUGCGCCGGGUACGGGCGGGCUGGAGUGCGGUAGGGGAGACUGGAAUUCCCGGUGUAACGGUGGAAUGUGUAGAUAUCGGGAAGAACACC
rnacentral:rRNA from 1 species